GAUGAACGCUGGCGGCGUGCCUAAUACAUGCAAGUCGAGCGAACAGACGAGGAGCUUGCUCCUCUGACGUUAGCGGCGGACGGGUGAGUAACACGUGGAUAACCUACCUAUAAGACUGGGAUAACUUCGGGAAACCGGAGCUAAUACCGGAUAAUAUAUUGAACCGCAUGGUUCAAUAGUGAAAGACGGUUUUGCUGUCACUUAUAGAUGGAUCCGCGCCGCAUUAGCUAGUUGGUAAGGAAACGGCUUACCAAGGCAACGAUGCGUAGCCGACCUGAGAGGGUGAUCGGCCACAAUGGAACUGAGACACGGUCCAGACUCCUACGGGAGGCAGCAGUAGGGAAUCUUCCGCAAUGGGCGAAAGCUUGACGGAGCAACGCCGCGUGAGUGAUGAAGGUCUUCGGAUCGUAAAACUCUGUUAUUAGGGAAGAACAAAUGUGUAAGUAACUAUGCACGUCUUGACGGGACCUAAUCAGAAAGCCACGGCGAACUACGU
rnacentral:rRNA from 1 species